AGACAUCAGUGGUGAGAGAGAAGACCAUUGAGCUCCGCUGAUAGCAGACAUGUUCCCCAGACAAGUCACACUAUGGCUGUAGUCAGUUAUGAGGGAAAAGCAGAAAAAAGACAGGAGAGGAAAGGUGAACACACCAAGGAAAGCAUUCCCAUGAUGUAGCUGACCAUCGGCCCCCCAGCUUUCCCACUGGAGGGGCCUGUUUGGCAGGUCUGAGUGGGGUGGGACCCAGGAGACUAUUUUCAAAAGCAUCCCAGGCGAUCCGACGCUCACCCACAUUUUGAAAAGCAAACCUUUGGGAGAUGGUGGCUGCUGGGAGGAGCAGCAGGUUCAAGCACACCCUCUGUUGGCCGUAUGGCAAUUUCCAUGACACAGUGCAAAGAGGCAAGGCUCCUCUUGGCUGAGGACUGGAUGAGGCCUCGGGACCUCUGUGUGGGUGGUUUUGAGAUAAGGGGAGCUUUUAGGCUCCCGACUGCCUCCCUCCUUUCUAUAAUUUAUGAUCGGGGGUACGAGGCCGAGGCGUGUGCGGUGCAUACCGGAAACCUGGAGUCACAGGUCCCCCCAGCCGCACUGGGUCUUUGUGAGCACAGACCUGCUUGCACAUCGAGGUUCUCACCACCUCGUCGGACACCCUGGUGUACAGACUGCAACUGCUGAUGCCGAAGCUGUAUUAUCCUGGCACUAGCCCAAGUCCAGCAGCCAUGCGUACUUACCCCAAUUCCCCAAUUGUAUUUUUUUCUCUCCACUGCCCGCAACUGUGAACUCCCUCCCUGUUCCCCUCAAAGUCCCAGACUUUCCCAAGUAGGUCUCGGUUCACUUAGACAUUCCUUGAGCCACACUUCCGAGGGCAUGGCCUUUUAGAAGACGUUGCUUUAAACUCAGUGCCGUAUGUCACGUUGCCAGAGCAAGAUAAGCAAGACCAGGCUGCAAUCACCGCUGGCCAAUGAAAAUAAGAUGCACGCGUGGGGUGGCUUUGGUUUGGCUUGGUCUGGUUUCAGAUCUAAGGAGAUGAAGUGAUUAUUUAGAUGGGUGGGAGGGGGAAUCUAAGAUAAGAAUAAUGAUUUGGCCUUGGAUGGAUUGCCCAGGAAACUGCUGAGGUUUGAGUUAGGCUGAUUCCCAUGGCACAGUUUCCGGGGCCUGUUCCAACUCGCUACCUGGCUCAGCACUGCGUUUUCAUCCUAGCAGUUUGCAUUUCUCAAGGAAGUAAACAGCCCAUGUGAUCUGCAUCGGAAAGCAAAUGCGGUUCUUUAGCCUCGUGCUGCCGUGGUCUUCCAAGCGGGACACAACCUCAGGAGUUGAUGAGUUGGCAUUCAGGUACCCACAACCGGGCUUAGUAUGAAUCAACACAGGAUUCAGCCAGCUUGACUUUGCCACCAUGUGAGCCAGUGCUUUGGGGGAUACAAAGACACAACACACAGUCUUCCUCUCUUGUAGUAAUGUAUUAUAUUCCAUAAUGAAUUA